CCUGGUCACCUGACUCCCACUCCCUCCUGCUCACCUGUGUCUCAUUUCCUGCUCAUUUGUCAUGUGGCUUCGUGCCCCCCCUGAACCCAGUGCCUGAAUCCUGACCAGAUCCGGCCUGCUCAGGAUUCUCACUUACUUUUGUUUGGACUUGCUUCCCCUGCCCGUAAGCUUUUUGUACUUUUUUCAAUAAAUAACUGAACUAGUAUUGGAUUAUUUUGCAUUUGCAUUUUUUACCUUGUUUUUUCCACCCCUAUCGCAACCAGUGCUGGAAAGCAACUGCACGAGGAGCCUCUGAAUGGGAUCAUCAAUCUGCCGGACUUUCUUCUGGGAAACACAGAUCCCUGCUGACACUGAGUGCAUUCUGGGAAGUGUAGAGGCCGUCCAUCAGCCUCAUCAUAAGGUCGGAGAUUCUUGAGCUGACGGCCACAAUGUCGGGCCUGAGGUCUGCAUCUGGACUCAAACACCUGAAAGGAAGACUCCUAAAGUCUCACCAUCUGAUCAUAUCUGUGACUCUCUCUGAGAAAGCUCCUUCUUCAAUUGGCUCGUAGAUGGCUUCUACAAUCUAAAGCAAAGAAGAAUAAAUACAGCAUGAUGUUGUUAGGUGAGAGGUCGCGGUGGACUAUUCUCUUUUCCAUGUGCAGGUACCUCAGAGCCAGACACAUCUGAAGGAACAUGGAGAAGAUAUAUCGAUUAGUAAUUAAAUUAUUCAAUCAUUAGCAGUUGAAAGCAAAAGUAAAAAGGUAUGUUUUGAGGUCUCAAUUAUUUUAAUCUUAUUGUGAAUAUCUUCAUACUUGGUACCAAUACUUUACCAGGUGAACAUUUCCCAAAAAGGAUUAAGAGCUGUUACCUGUAUGAAAAUAUUCCAAAUUGUGUCUUCUGUGAACUUCUGCUGCUUCUCCUUCAGAGAGUUGAAAUGUUCAGUCAGUGGCACUCCCUCGAUCAGCUCCAUCACGAUGUACAGCAUGUCGCCUGCAAAACAGUUUUUUGGCUUUGAACUUUUGUUUUAUUCAUUUCUUUUAAAAGCUUUGGGCUAAAAUUAUCCUCACCUUCCAAAAAUGUCUUAUAAUAUUUAACAACGUUUGGGUGCAUCAUCUAAAGAACAAGAAUCAAAGAACACAUAAAUACACAAACGGUUGCUGUUCUUGUUAGAUAGUGUGUCACUAAAUUAGUUUUCAAAAAUGAAAUAUAAACUUUGCCUGUUCUUUGAUGAUCGAUAGCUCAGAGAUUAUUUUCUCCACGUUACUGUCUCUCGACUUCUUGUCUUUCCCGAACACUGGGUUAUGGAGGUUCACUUCUUUCAGAGCAAGGAGGUUCUGGCCGCUGUGCUUUCGGACCUGUCAUUCAGUAUAAGUAUUGUAUUAUUCGACCCAAAGAAAAUUAAUGUGAACCACCUAAAGCAGUCUUGUAUCAUUUCACAAAGAAGCUUAAUUGUCCAAGGAUGUUAGCUGUACCUUAAAGACGCUUCCAAAGGCGCCGGUGCCCAGAUGGUCCAGUACUGAGUAACCGUUGAUGACUUUAAGCGGAGGUCGGUUCUGGUCACAGUCUCUAUGCUUUCUUUUAUACUGUCCAUUUCCUCUUCCUGCAUCACAUAUACAAAGAACUCCAUCCAUUUGCGAGUUAAAGAAUCCUUCUUGUCAAACCUUAUAGUUUCAUUAAUGUCAAAUACAGUCAAAAACUGCUAAAUAAACAGUGGAAUCCAUUUAGAAGCUGUUCUCUUACAGUGUAGAGAGAAACUUUGGUUUGCAGCCCCUCGUAGGCCGUGAGAUCCCGCACAUAGUGUCCAACAUCAAUAAACAACUCAAAGAGGUCUGUGGGAAAGAGUCUGAAAUGGAUAAGAGAUUACAUAACAGCACUGGGGAACAUAUCAAGAGAAUUCUUCCAAAACAGAUUUCCAAAAAUAGCUACAUUUGGAAGAUGAAUGUAUGAAAUGAACCUGUGGCAAUAUAUGGUGUUUUUUUCCUAAA